rnacentral:lncRNA from 1 species
UAAUCUUCAGCAAAGCAACUUUCCCUUACUGCUCUCUCAAGUUCAUCAUCAUCAUGCCGAAGGAAACGUGCGUUUUUUCAUGGGUUUCUAAUAAUGAAGUUUCUCGUGCCCAUCUCGUUAUUUAUUGGAAAUAAUCCGCCACUCCAAAAUCUCCCAUCACAUCAACAACUUAAAAGUCUUCAAGAAACACAAGACUCAAGGAGACGAAGGAGAAUUAAACGGUCUCAACUAAGUACUAAGAAAUUGAGGGGCUUGUUGAUCACCUAAUGAAAUGAAUGUUCCGUUAUCAUUUAAUUGUCAACACAUUUCGUGCCGAAGUUAUCUAUUCUUCCUUUAUGGUCAGUGGUCACUAAGAAGUUAUGAGUACACUUCCUGUGAUGAUGGGUUUGAUGUUCUCAAACCAACAAUAU